rnacentral:rRNA from 1 species
AGAGUUUGAUCCUGGCUCAGAACGUACGCUGGCGGCACGCCUAACACAUGCAAGUCGAACGCAGUAGCAAUACUGAGUGGCGAACGGGUGAGUAUAAUGUAGGUAUCUGCCUUUUGGUUUGGAAUAACACGGGGAAACCUGUGCUAAUACCGGAUAAGCCUUCACAGGGAAAGUUUUAACGCCAAAAGAUGAGCCUGCACUUGAUUAGCUAGUUGGUAAGGUAAUGGCUUACCAAGGCUACGAUCAAUAGCUGUUCUUAGAGGAAGAUCAGCCACAUUGGGACUGAGACACGGCCCAAACUCCUACGGGAGGCAGCAGUGGGGAAUAUUGCACAAUGGGGGAAACCCUGAUGCAGCGAUGCCGCGUGAGUGAAGAAGGCCUUUGGGUUGUAAAGCUCUUUCGUCGGGGAAGAAAAUGACUGUACCCGAAUAAGAAGGUCCGGCUAACUUCGUGCCAGCAGCCGCGGUAAUACGAAGGGACCUAGCGUAGUUCGGAAUUACUGGGCUUAAAGAGCUCGUAGGUGGUUAGAAAAGUUGGUGGUGAAAUCCCAAGGCUUAACCUUGGAACUGCCAUCAAAACUUUUUAACUAGAGUAUGAUAGAGGAAAGUGGAAUUUCUAGUGUAGAGGUGAAAUUCGUAGAUAUUAGAAAGAAUACCAAUUGCGAAGGCAGCUUUCUGGAUCAUUACUGACACUGAGGAACGAAAGCAUGGGUAGCGAAGAGGAUUAGAUACCCUCGUAGUCCAUGCCGUAAACGAUGUGUGUUAGACGUUGGAAAUUUAUUUUCAGUGUCGCAGCGAAAGCGAUAAACACACCGCCUGGGGAGUACGACCGCAAGGUUAAAACUCAAAUGAAUUGACGGGGACCCGCACAAGUAGUGGAGCAUGUGGUUUAAUUCGAAGAUACGCGCAGAACCUUACCAACACUUGACAUGUUCGUCGCGACUCUAAGAGAUUAGAGUUUUCGGUUCGGCCGGACGAAACACAGGUGCUGCAUGGCUGUCGUCAGCUCGUGUCGUGAGAUGUUGGGUUAAGUCCCGCAACGAGCGCAACCCUCACUUUUAGUUGCCAUCAUUAAGUUGGGCACUCUGAAAGAACUGCCAGUGAUAAGCUGGAGGAAGGUGGGGAUGACGUCAAGUCCUCAUGGCCCUUACGUGUUGGGCUACACACGUGCUACAAUGGCAUCUACAACAGGAAGCAAAACGGCAACGUUAAGCAAAUCCCGAAAAGAUGCCUCAGUUCGGAUUGCACUCUGCAACUCGAGUGCAUGAAGCUGGAAUUACUAGUAAUCGCGGAUCAGCGCGCCGCGGUGAAUACGUUCCCGGGUCUUGUACACACCGCCCGUCACACCAUGGGAGUUGGUUCUACCUUAAGGCAAAGUUUAAAACCUUUGACCACGGUAUAGUCAGCGACUGGGGUGAAGUCGUAACAAGGUAACC